CCUACGGGAGGCAGCAGUGGGGGAUAUUGCACAAUGGGGGAAACCCUGAUGCAGCGACGCCGCGUGGGUGAAGAAGCGCCUCGGCGCGUAAAGCCCUGUCAGCAGGGAAGAAAAUGACGGUACCUGAAGAAGAAGCCCCGGCUAACUACGUGCCAGCAGCCGCGGUAAUACGUAGGGGGCAAGCGUUAUCCGGAUUUACUGGGUGUAAAGGGGGCGCAGACGGCGAUGCAAGCCAGGAGUGAAAGCCCGGGGCCCAACCCCGGGACUGCUCUUGGAACUGCGUGGCUAGAGUGCAGGAGGGGCAGGCGGAAGUCCUGGUGUAGCGGUGAAAUGCGUAGAUAUCAGGAGGAACACCGAUGGCGAAGGCGGCCUGCUGGACUGCAACUGACGUUGAGGCCCGAAAGCGUGGAGAGCAAACAGGAUUAGAUACCCUUGUAGUC
rnacentral:rRNA from 1 species